ensembl:lncRNA LINC00293 long intergenic non-protein coding RNA 293
AGGCCCUGCCCACUAAAGGAAUUGUGACAUACCACUGAGUGCAAAACCUAGACUCUGCCAAGAGAGGGGAUUAUUACAUAUUGCAGAGCCCAGCACCUAGGUGGAGUGACUCUCAUCUUUUUCUUCUACCCCGUAUAUAGCCAGCUUGGUGACCUACUAUUUGAGUCUAUACCCAGGCCCAGACCACAGAUGAAAUUGUGCAAUAUGUGGAACAAACACCUAAACAAUAUAUAACACCUUCCUUGGCUCUGUCUACAAAGGGCACUUUUAUAUAUCACUGGGACCAUCAACCAGGUGAUAUAACCCUCUUCUCUGGAAUGGGCCCCACACAAAGGAAGGAUAGUGACAUAUUGCAAGCCCAGGCACACAGGCCCAGAGCACAGUUGAAAUUGUGACAUAUGUACACCAAGCAACCAAGCAAUGUAUAACACCUCAUUUGGCAAUGGAAUCGAGGGCACUUUUACAUAUCACUGAGACCAGCGCCCAGCUGAUGUGAAAUAUUGGCCUGAACCCUGCCUACAAAAGCAUUGUGGCUUUUAUCUAGCUCCAUUACAUAAGUGAUGUGACUUCCUUCUACUGCCUUGGCCCUGCACUUAUGGUGAAUCGUGACACAAAAUUGGGUAGAGCAACCAGCCUGGGCCCUGACCAGCACAGAGAUUGAGGCAUAUUGCUGAACCCAGGACCAAGAUGAAGUCACUCUCCUGCCUUGAUCCUGCACACAGGGACCCUUGUGACAUAUAUACAGGCCAAUUGCCUAGGUGAUGUUGUGCAAUAUACCUGAGACCAGAUCAAUGGCCUAAUAAUGACUCUUUUACCUAGAGCCAGGACAUGUGCAGGAUGGUAACUCUCAUCCCUGAACCUUUCCACAGGUGUUAUUGUCACAUAUACCUUUUCCAGCUCCAAAGUGAUUUAAUAAUCCAGCCUAGUUAUAGCCCACAGAUAAUAUUUGGACAUAUACCUGAGUCAAGAACCUUGGUGAUUUGACUCUCAUGUCUUAACAGUGUCCUCAGAAGGGAUCAUAACAUAUCUCUGGACCCAUCAUCUAGGUUAUGUGACUCUCUUCUCCUGCCUGAACCCUGCUUCCAGUGAAGAGUGUUGCAUUUCUAAGCACUGCAUCCAAAUGACAUGAGUUUCUUGCCUGGGCCGUUUCAACAGAAGGCAUUGUGACAUAUCUCUAGGUCUAUCAUUUAGGUGAUAUGACUCUCCUCUCCUGCCUGGACACUCUCCACAAGGGGCAUUAUGCCAUAGAGCUAGAGCUAGCAACCAAGUUUUGUGAAUUUUCUGUUAGGGCCUUGCCUACAAAGAGAAUUUUGGAAUAUUUCUGGCUUAGAAUUUAAGUAAUGUGGUUGUUCUGCCUGUUCAGUAACCACAGAGGAGAAGGUGAAAUAUAUCUAGGCACCGCAAACAGGCAUGAUAAUGAGUCUUGUAUGUGGACCCAGCAAAUAGGAGAAAUUUUGACUCUUAUAACUAGGUUUAGGAACAUGAGUGAUGUCCAGGAUCUCCUUCUGGUAAGAAGGUCACAGAAGAUUGCAACACUCACAAUUAUUUUGUAACACCUUUGGGUUGUAUAGGGAGUGUCGUAACAGGGCCAAACACACAGAGGAAAUUGUGACAGUCAUAUGCACACCUACCUGACAGUAAAGACUUUCACAAUCACAAAUGGAUGAAGGCAACUGUCCUACAUGAAAACAGGACAUGUGUGGUAUUGUACAUCUAAAACCUAGAAUUUUAUUCCAUUGUGACUGUGAUAUAAAUCAAUGCCAAGCACCUGCGUGA